AACACAUGAAAGAGAGAGAGAGAGAGAGAAGGGAAUGACGCGCAGCAAAGGGCCGCAGGUCGGAGUCAAACCCGGGCCAGCUGCGUCAAGGACUGAGCCACCUCUGCGCUCACUUC